UAUAUAAUUUGGCCGAAUCCCUUGAAGGGAACGGGGGAACCAAAAGUAAUUGGGGUGAAGUCCGUCUGGACAGGGUAGCCUUUCGACCCUAACCCGUCAGCUAACCCCGUAGGCGUACGAAAGGAGGCAAU
rnacentral:sRNA from 2 species